rnacentral:rRNA from 1 species
GCUAAACAGCUAGCUCAACCACCAAAGUUUUUUCAUCAUUAUUUUUAAAUCUUUAAUAAAUUCUUAUCAUAAACAAACAAAUCAUUUUCCUGCCUUAGUAUGGGCGACAGAAAAGGCACCAGAAGCUAUAGAAUUAGUACCGCAAGGGAAAGCUGAAAAAGAAAUGAAAUAAUUUAUUUAAGCCUAAAAAAGCAGAGAUUUACCCUCGUACCUUUUGCAUCAUGGUCUAGCUAGAAAUUAGAGAGCAAAGAGAAACUUUAGUUCUUAUCCCCGAAACCAAGUGAGCUACCCCAAGACAGCCUUCAACAGGGCCAACCCGUCUCUGUGGCAAAAGAGUGGGAAGAUCUUCAGGUAGAGGUGAUAGACCUAUCGAACUUGGUGAUAGCUGGUUGCCUAAGAAAUGGAUAUAAGUCCAGCCUCGUUAUCCUCCCUUCAAACAAGCUUUCAGCCUUAAGAGACAGAGAAAACCACGAGAGUUAGUCAAAGGGGGUACAGCCCCUUUGAACCAGGACACAACCUAACCAGGAGGUUAAGAGUCACACUUAACAAGAUUACCGCUUUAGUGGGCCUAAAAGCAGCCAUCUACAAAGAAAGCGUUAAAGCUCAGACAGAUAAAUAAAUCUAUUAUUCUGAUAAAAUAACCCUAAACCCCUUAUAAUAUUAGGCCAUCCUAUGCACCCAUAGGAGAGAUACUGCUAGAAUGAGUAACAAGAAGACAACCUCUUCUCCACGCCCACGUGUAAGCUAGAUCGGACCCACCACUAAUAUUUAACGAACCCAAUCAAAGAGGGAAAAGUGAUUCUACAACAAAAUCAAGAAAACCCCACAUAAAUUUUAUCGUUAACCCUACACUGGAGAGCUUUAAGGAAAGAUUAAAAGAAAGGGAAGGAACUCGGCAAACACAAGCCUCGCCUGUUUACCAAAAACAUCGCCUCUUGCAAAAAUCAACGUAUAAGAGGUCCCACCUGCCCGGUGACUAUGUUUAACGGCCGCGGUAUUUUGACCGUGCAAAGGUAGCGCAAUCACUUGUCUUUUAAAUAAAGACCUGUAUGAACGGUGAAACGAGGGCUUAACUGUCUCCCCUUUCCAAUCAGUGAAAUUGAUUUACCCGUGCAGAAGCGGGCAUAAACCUACAAGACGAGAAGACCCUAUGGAGCUUAAGACAAAAAUCAACUAUUUUUUUACCUUAAUAAAAAAGAGCAUAGACCAAUAAUAGAAAAUGAUUGAAGUUUUCGGUUGGGGCGACCACGGGAAAAAACAAAUCUCCCACGCGGAAAAUAGACUUUCCUCCUGAACCAUGAGGCACACCUCUAAGUCACAGAAUUUCUGACCACCUAGAUCCGGCAAUUUAGCCGAUCAGCGGACCAAGUUACCCUAGGGAUAACAGCGCAAUCCCCUUUAAGAGUCCAUAUCGACAAGGGGGUUUACGACCUCGAUGUUGGAUCAGGACAUCCUAAUGGUGCAGCCGCUAUUAAGGGUUCGUUUGUUCAACGAUUAAAGUCCUACGUGAUCUGAGUUCAGACCGGAGUAAUCCAGGUCAGUUUCUAUCUGUAAAGCUAUUUCUUCUAGUACGAAAGGAUCGAAGAAAUAAGGCCACUACCCCUGAUAUGCCUUACUUCUACUUAAUGAAACCAACUCAAUUAAAUAAAGAAGAGCAUAAAAUCCCAAAAGAUAUUUGGA